AACCACUGUAGCAACAGAAAAAAAUCACCCUGCUCAGAGAUGUGAUGUCUCCUACGUCCAUACCUUGUACAGGAAGCACAGACAGAAAAAUGGAUAUACACCAAGCUCCUUAACAAAAUGUGGGACUAGACUUUGGAGGUGAUGUAGAGAUCUAUGCCUGUUAUACACCAGCAGAGGACAAUGCUAUCUACAUGAAUAAUCAGAAGAAAUGGAGCAAGACCACUGAACUCACAAGAUGACUUAAGUUAAAUGACUCCUUUUUAGGAUGAAAACAUGAAGUGACACCCUACCUCUAAUCCAUGUGGUGAGAUCUUCAGGUAUUC